GCUUGGGUGGCUCAGUUUGUUGAGCGUCUGACUUUGGCUCAGGUCACAAUCUCGUGGCUCGUGGGUUCAAGCCCUGCCUCCAGCU
rnacentral:tRNA from 1 species